GCAUAUCAAUAAGCGGAGGAAAAGAAACUAACAAGGAUUCCCUUAGUAACGGCGAGUGAACCGGGAAGAGCUCAAAUUUGUAAUCUGGCUGUCUUCGAUAGUCCGAGUUGUAAUCUAUAGACGUGUUUUCCGUGCUGGACCGUAUCUAAGUCCCUUGGAACAGGGUAUCAAAGAGGGUGAUAAUCCCGUGCUUGAUACGACCACCAGUGCUCUGUGAUACACGCUCUACGAGUCGAGUUGUUUGGGAAUGCAGCUCAAAAUGGGUGGUAAAUUCCAUCUAAAGCUAAAUAUUGGCGAGAGACCGAUAGCGAACAAGUACCGUGAGGGAAAGAUGAAAAGCACUUUGGAAAGAGAGUUAAACAGUACGUGAAAUUGUUGAAAGGGAAACGAUUGAAGUCAGUCGUGUUCUUCAGAUUCAGCUGGUUCUUCCAGUCUACUUCUGUUGAACGGGUCAACAUCAGUUUUGUCCGGUGGAUAAAGGUAGUAGGAAUGUGACUCCUCCGGGAGUGUUAUAGCCUAUUAUUGCAUACACUGGGUGAGACUGAGGACUGCAGCUCGCCUUUUGGCCGGUCUUCGGACACGUUCGAGCUUAGGAUGUUGACAUAAUGGCUUUAAACGACCCGUCUUGAAACACGGACC
rnacentral:rRNA from 1 species